rnacentral:lncRNA from 10 species
GAUUCCGUGGGCGUAGGACCCUCCAAGCCAGGUCACUGCCUCCUUUUUGUCAGUAGAUGGAGCCUAAGCCAAGGUUUGCCUUGGCUCUAGCAAAUGAUCAGAUGUGUGCCCAUCUGGAAUAGGUAAGGUCCCAAAAGGGCUAUCUUGGCAGUGUGGAAAGGCUGUCUAGGGGAACCUGUGGAACAUGCAUUUUACAGCAUGGUCCUGCUGAACAGCCACUCUGAUUCAUUGUGUUCUUUGGCCAAGUUAUAGAACAGAGUGUCUAAGGCUGGGCAUGGUAGUCCUAUCUUCCUCCAUUGUCUCUCGCUGUCCAUAGGGAUAUGCCUCCAUGCUUCCUGUGGGUUGAGGCAUGGACAGUUCUCCUGCCAAAGAACCCAAGAUGGUGAGAAAGUUGGUUGUCCAACUCAAUCUCACUUUUUCCAGUGAAGAAAUUAUGAGUCAGGGAAAAAUUUCCACAUGCCUGAUACCAGGCAGAUGGAAGAAAAGGUGUCGGAGAUAUGAAAGUCUUAUUCUCUUGCCAUCUGGUCAGAGAUUUUUAACUUUUCUAUGGCCCUGGGGACUGACUCAUCCUCAUAUUUGAGUUCUAGGAUGUUGCUGGUGAUAAUCUCAAGGCUAUGUAUUUGUUUUUGGUUUUCUGUGGGAGGAGUGAAGCCAAUGUGUGUCUACACCUCUAUUUUCAUGCCAGAAAUCUCUGCCCAUUUUAAUUUUUGAGGCAACAUAUACACAUUUGGGUGUGCACUUUGUUAAAUGUGAUUAAUUGAAUACACACUUUGAUGAAUUUACCUAAAUAAUGUGGUCGAAUUAAAGUGUAACCUAGAGUAAGGAAGGUGUGUUAGGCCAUUCUUGCAUUGCUAUAAAGAAAUAUCUGAGGUUGGGGGGCUGGGUGCAGUGGCUCACUCCUAUAAUCCCAGCACUUUGGGAGGCCAAGGUGGGCAGAUCAUGAGGUCAGGAGAUGGAGACCAUCCUGGCUAACGCAGUGAAACCCCGUCUCUACCAAAAAUACAAAAAUAAUCAGCUGGGCGUGGUGGUGAGCUCAUGUAGACCCAGCUACUCGGGAGGCUGAGGCAGGAGAAUGGUGUGAACCCGGGAGGAAGAGCUUGCGGUGAGCCAAGAUUGCGCCACUGCACUCCAGCCUGGGUGACAGAGCAAGACUCUGUCUCAAAAAAAAA